CUAACACAUGCAAGUCGAACGAGGUCCAUCCUUCGGGAGAAGACCUAGAUGGCGAACGGGUGAGUAACACGUGAGGAACCUGCCCCGAAGACCGGGAUAACUCUCCGAAAGGAGUGCUAAUACCGGAUACCCCCACCGAACCGCAUGGUUUGGUGAGGAAAUGGAUUCCGCUUCGGGAGGGCCUCGCGGCCUAUCAGCUAGUUGGUGGGGUAACGGCCCACCAAGGCAUCGACGGGUAGCUGGUCUGAGAGGACGAUCAGCCACACUGGGACUGAGACACGGCCCAGACUCCUACGGGAGGCAGCAGUGGGGAAUCUUGCGCAAUGGGCGAAAGCCUGACGCAGCAACGCCGCGUGGGGGAUGAAGGCUCUCGGGUUGUAAACCCCUUUCAGCAGGGACGAAUCAAGACGGUACCUGCAGAAGAAGCCCCGGCUAACUACGUGCCAGCAGCCGCGGUAACACGUAGGGGGCAAGCGUUGUCCGGAUUUAUUGGGCGUAAAGAGCUCGUAGGUGGCUGAGUAAGUCGGAUGUUAAAUCCCCAGGCUCAACCUGGGACACCACCCGAUACUGCUCUGGCUAGAGUCCGGUAGGGGAGCGUGGAAUUCCUGGUGUAGCGGU
rnacentral:rRNA from 1 species